rnacentral:rRNA from 1 species
UACGAAGGGGGCUAGCGUUGUUCGGAAUCACUGGGCGUAAAGCGCACGUAGGCGGAUCUUUAAGUCAGAGGUGAAAUCCCAAGGCUCAACCUUGGAACUGCCUUUGAUACUGGGGAUCUUGAGUCCGGGAGAGGUGAGUGGAACUGCGAGUGUAGAGGUGAAAUUCGUAGAUAUCGGGAGGAACACCAGUGGCGAAGGCGGCGAUCUGGGUAGAUACUGACGCUGAGGUGCGAAAGCGUGGGGAGCAAACAGG